rnacentral:rRNA from 1 species
AGUGAACGCUGGCGGUAGGCCUAACACAUGCAAGUCGAACGGCAGCACAGUAAGAGCUUGCUCUUACGGGUGGCGAGUGGCGGACGGGUGAGGAAUACAUCGGCAUCUACUUUUUCGUGGGGGAUAACGUAGGGACACUUACGCUAAUACCGCAUACGACCUACGGGUGAAAGCAGGAGAUCUUCGGACCUUGCGCGAUUGAAUGAGCCGAUGUCGGAUUAGCUAGUUGGCGGGGUAAAGGCCCACCAAGGCGACGAUCCGUAGCUGGUCUGAGAGGAUGAUCAGCCACACUGGAACUGAGACACGGUCCAGACUCCUACGGGAGGCAGCAGUGGGGAAUAUUCCACAAUGGGCGCAAGCCUGAUCCAGCCACACCGCGUGGGUGAAGAAGGUCUUCGGGUUGUAAAGCCCUUUUGUUGGGGAAGAAAAGCAGCAGGUGAAAAUCCCGACGUUUUGACGGUACCUAAAGAAUAAGCACCGGCUAACUUCGUG